GGGUUGUGAGGUUAAGCGACUAAGCGUACACGGUGGAUGCCCUGGCAGUCAGAGGCGAUGAAGGACGUGCUAAUCUGCGAAAAGCGCCGGCGAGGUGAUAUGAACCCUUGACCCGGCGAUGUCCGAAUGGGGAAACCCAGUGCAAUCCGUUGCACUAUCGUUAACUGAAUACAUAGGUUAACGAGGCGAACCGGGGGAACUGAAACAUCUAAGUACCCCGAGGAAAAGAAAUCAACCGAGAUUCCCCCAGUAGCGGCGAGCGAACGGGGAGCAGCCCGGAGUCUGAAUCAGCUUGUGUGUUAGUGGAACGGUCUGGAAAGUCCGACGGUACAGGGUGAUAGUCCCGUACACGAAAAUGCACAGGUUGUGAACUCGAAGAGUAGGGCGGGACACGUGGUAUCCUGUCUGAAUAUGGGGGGACCAUCCUCCAAGGCUAAAUACUCCUGACUGACCGAUAGUGAACCAGUACCGUGAGGGAAAGGCGAAAAGAACCCCGGCGAGGGGAGUGAAAAAGAACCUGAAACCGUGUACGUACAAGCAGUGGGAGCCUCUUUAUGGGGUGACUGCGUACCUUUUGUAUAAUGGGUCAGCGACUUAUAUUCUGUAGCAAGGUUAACCGUAUAGGGGAGCCGAAGGGAAACCGAGUCUUAACUGGGCGUUAAGUUGCAGGGUAUAGACCCGAAACCCGGUGAUCUAGCCAUGGGCAGGUUGAAGGUUGGGUAACACUAACUGGAGGACCGAACCGACUAAUGUUGAAAAAUUAGCGGAUGACCUGUGGCUGGGGGUGAAAGGCCAAUCAAACCGGGAGAUAGCUGGUUCUCCCCGAAAGCUAUUUAGGUAGCGCCUCGUGAACUCAUCUUCGGGGGUAGAGCACUGUUUCGGCUAGGGGGCCAUCCCGGCUUACCAACCCGAUGCAAACUACGAAUACCGAAGAAUGUUAUCACGGGAGACACACGGCGGGUGCUAACGUCCGUCGUGAAGAGGGAAACAACCCAGACCGCCAGCUAAGGUCCCAAAGUCAUGGUUAAGUGGGAAACGAUGUGGGAAGGCACAGACAGCCAGGAUGUUGGCUUAGAAGCAGCCAUCAUUUAAAGAAAGCGUAAUAGCUCACUGGUCGAGUCGGCCUGCGCGGAAGAUGUAACGGGGCUAAACCAUGCACCGAAGCUGCGGCAGCGACACUAUGUGUUGUUGGGUAGGGGAGCGUUCUGUAAGCCGUUGAAGGUGUGCUGUGAGGCAUGCUGGAGGUAUCAGAAGUGCGAAUGCUGACAUAAGUAACGAUAAAGCGGGUGAAAAGCCCGCUCGCCGGAAGACCAAGGGUUCCUGUCCAACGUUAAUCGGGGCAGGGUGAGUCGACCCCUAAGGCGAGGCCGAAAGGCGUAGUCGAUGGGAAACAGGUUAAUAUUCCUGUACUUGGUGUUACUGCGAAGGGGGGACGGAGAAGGCUAUGUCAGCCGGGCGACGGUUGUCCCGGUUUAAGCAUGUAGGCGGAGGUUCCAGGUAAAUCCGGUACCUUAUUAACGCUGAGGUGUGAUGACGAGGCACUACGGUGCUGAAGUGAUAAAUGCCCUGCUUCCAGGAAAAGCCUCUAAGCAUCAGGUAACACGAAAUCGUACCCCAAACCGACACAGGUGGUCAGGUAGAGAAUACCAAGGCGCUUGAGAGAACUCGGGUGAAGGAACUAGGCAAAAUGGUGCCGUAACUUCGGGAGAAGGCACGCUGAUGUGUAGGUGAAGCCCCUGCGGGUGGAGCUGAAAUCAGUCGAAGAUACCAGCUGGCUGCAACUGUUUAUUAAAAACACAGCACUGUGCAAACACGAAAGUGGACGUAUACGGUGUGACGCCUGCCCGGUGCCGGAAGGUUAAUUGAUGGGGUUAGCGGCAACGCGAAGCUCUUGAUCGAAGCCCCGGUAAACGGCGGCCGUAACUAUAACGGUCCUAAGGUAGCGAAAUUCCUUGUCGGGUAAGUUCCGACCUGCACGAAUGGCGUAAUGAUGGCCAGGCUGUCUCCACCCGAGACUCAGUGAAAUUGAACUCGCUGUGAAGAUGCAGUGUACCCGCGGCAAGACGGAAAGACCCCGUGAACCUUUACUAUAGCUUGACACUGAACACUGGUCCUUGAUGUGUAGGAUAGGUGGGAGGCUUUGAAGCGUGGACGCCAGUCUGCGUGGAGCCAACCUUGAAAUACCACCCUUUAAUGGCUGGUGUUCUAACGUAGACCCGUAAUCCGGGUUGCGGACAGUGUCUGGUGGGUAGUUUGACUGGGGCGGUCUCCUCCCAAAGAGUAACGGAGGAGCACGAAGGUUGGCUAAUCCUGGUCGGACAUCAGGAGGUUAGUGCAAUGGCAUAAGCCAGCUUGACUGCGAGCGUGACGGCGCGAGCAGGUGCGAAAGCAGGUCAUAGUGAUCCGGUGGUUCUGAAUGGAAGGGCCAUCGCUCAACGGAUAAAAGGUACUCCGGGGAUAACAGGCUGAUACCGCCCAAGAGUUCAUAUCGACGGCGGUGUUUGGCACCUCGAUGUCGGCUCAUCACAUCCUGGGGCUGAAGUAGGUCCCAAGGGUAUGGCUGUUCGCCAUUUAAAGUGGUACGCGAGCUGGGUUUAGAACGUCGUGAGACAGUUCGGUCCCUAUCUGCCGUGGGCGCUGGAGAAUUGAGGGGGGCUGCUCCUAGUACGAGAGGACCGGAGUGGACGCAUCACUGGUGUUCGGGUUGUCAUGCCAAUGGCACUGCCCGGUAGCUAAAUGCGGAAGAGAUAAGUGCUGAAAGCAUCUAAGCACGAAACUUGCCCCGAGAUGAGUUCUCCCUGAGACUUUAAGUCUCCUGAAGGAACGUUGAAGACGACGACGUUGAUAGGUCGGGUGUGUAAGCGCAGCGAUGCGUUGAGCUAACCGAUACUAAUGAACCGUGAGGCUUAACCUUACAACGCCGAAGGUGUUU
rnacentral:rRNA from 1 species